GAAGGCAUCCCCACGCUACGUGCUCUGCUCCUCCUGCCUCGUUGCGUUUUCGAGGAGGGUUUGUUCCGGGACAAAGUUAGGUGCGGAGAGUUUGAUGGAUCCCUGGUUCCCGGGGCCCUGGAGGGACCCGUGACACACUGCCCUGUGCACCUACACCAUGCGCUGAACUGGAGCGCAGCGGACUCGUGCGCUUUCCCACACGAGCAGCCCUGCUCACUUGGAACGUUGCAAGAAGAAAUUGCUCUGUGGGACUCUCCCCGUGGGGAGAAGGCUUUCUGCAGUCGCAUCUACAGUCCAACCUGGUGGCUUUUGCUUGGCCACGGUGCCCCAGGAUAAACUGGGUUUAACCGGUGGCCUGUAAAAUAGUCUUCAUCAAGAUCUAUGCUUUACAGGAUUCAAAUCUAAGCCUAUUUUACUUUUGAACCAAAGAUCCCAGGCUCGUUGAGGAAAACCAGCCAGCUCCGUGUGUUGCAUUUAAUAUUUUAUUGCUCAUUGGAAGCAAAUCUACUCUCUCUGUCAUCUGAGGCUAUUUUGGGUCUGCACAGAGAAGCACACCUUGCUGAUUGGCAGCAACGCAUCCCCUGCAGUGUUCACAAUGACUCACGUGUCCUACUGUCCCACCUGUCAGAGAAUUCCUAACAGAGGCCGGCCUACUUAAAAGAAAAGACUGAAAUGAAUUUGGUGGGGGAAAGAAAUAUUCAUCCAGGGAAUCCCCGGAUUCCCUAGCACUGACCAAAAAGGAAUGAAUGUGACUCUCUAGGGAGGGGAAGCAGGCCUCCUCUCCACAGGGAAAUGCCUCAUCAGUUUUGUGACCUAUUGUCAACAAUGCUGAACUAUGUCUGCCCUGUAGACACUUUACCUGUUGUCUGUGUGGUGAAUGUGGUGACACACCUAUUUCCAGUGUGAUAUUUGCUUUUACACCAAGGCGCUUGUCAUUUGUCUGAACGUCUUUAAAGCCGAUGUCACAGUUGUGACCCAGUAAGUUUAGAAGUUGUGCC
rnacentral:lncRNA from 1 species